AAUCUUCCGCAAUGGGCGAAAGCCUGACGGAGCAAUACCGCGUGAGGGACGAAGGCCUGUGGGUUGUAAACCUCUUUUGUUAGGGAAGAUAAUGACGGUACCUAACGAAUAAGCAUCGGCUAACUCCGUGCCAGCAGCCGCGGUAAGACGGAGGAUGCAAGCGUUAUCCGGAAUUAUUGGGCGUAAAGCGUACGUAGGCUGUUUCAUAAGUCUGCUGUCAAAGCCCGAGGCUCAACCUUGGAUCGGCAAUGGAAACUGUGAGACUAGAGAGAGAUAGGGGCAGGAGGAAUUCCAGGUGUAGCGGUGAAAUGCGUAGAUAUCUGGAAGAACACCAGUGGCGAAAGCGUCCUGCUGGAUCUCAACUGACGCUGAAGUACGAAAGCUAGGGGAGCGAAUGGGAUUAGAUACCCCAGUAGUC
rnacentral:rRNA from 1 species